rnacentral:rRNA from 1 species
GACGAACGCUGGCGGCGUGCUUAACACAUGCAAGUCGAACGGUGAAGGGGUCUGCUUUUGUGGGCCCUGGAUGAGUGGCGAACGGGUGAGUAACACGUGAGUAACCUGCCCCCUUCUUCUGGAUAACCGCAUGAAAGUGUGGCUAAUAUGGGAUAUUCUGGGUCUGUCGCAUGAUGGGUCUGGGAAAGAUUGCGCCUUUGGGUGUUUUUGGUGGGGGAUGGGCUCGCGGCCUAUCAGCUUGUUGGUGGGGUGAUGGCCUACCAAGGCGGUGACGGGUAGCCGGCCUGAGAGGGUGGACGGUCACACUGGGACUGAGACACGGCCCAGACUCCUACGGGAGGCAGCAGUGGGGAAUAUUGCACAAUGGGCGCAAGCCUGAUGCAGCGACGCCGCGUGAGGGAUGGAGGCCUUCGGGUUGUAAACCUCUUUCGCCAGUGAAGCAGGCCUGCUCCUUGUGGGUGGGUUGACGGUAGCUGGAUAAGAAGCGCCGGCUAACUACGUG